rnacentral:rRNA from 1 species
GAUCCUGGCUCAGGACGAACGCUGGCGGUGUGCUUAAUACAUGCAAGUCGAACGGACGCAGGGGGCUUGCUCCUUGCGUUAGUGGCGGACGGGUGAGUAACGCGUGAGCAACCUGCCCAUAUCAGGGGAAUAACACAGAGAAAUUUGUGCUAAUACCGCAUAAGACCACGGUAAGGCAUCUUACAGAGGUAAAAGAUUUAUCGGAUAUGGAUGGGCUCGCGUACCAUUAGAUAGUUGGCAG